CCGGGAAGAGCUCAAAUUUGAAAUCUGGCGUGCUCAGUGCGUCCGAGUUGUAAUCUAUAGAGGCGUUUUCCGUGCCGGACUGUGUCUAAGUCCCUUGGAACAGGGUAUCAAAGAGGGUGAUAAUCCCGUACUUGACACAAUGACCGGUGCUCUGUGAUACGUCUUCUACGAGUCGAGUUGUUUGGGAAUGCAGCUCAAAAUGGGUGGUGAGUUCCAUCUAAAGCUAAAUAUUGGCGAGAGACCGAUAGCGAACAAGUACCGUGAGGGAAAGAUGAAAAGCACUUUGGAAAGAGAGUUAAACAGUACGUGAAAUUGUUGAAAGGGAAACGAUUGAAGUCAGUCGUGACUGAGAGGCUCAGCCGGUUCUGCCGGUGUAUUCCCCUCAGUCGGGUCAACAUCAGUUUUGUUCGGUGGAUAAGGGCAGCUGGAAGGUGGCACCUCCGGGUGUGUUAUAGCCAGCUGUCGCAUACAUCGAAUGAGACUGAGGAAUGCAGCUCGCCUUUAUGGCCGGGGUUCGCCCACGUCCGAGCUUAGGAUGUUGACAUAAUGGCUUUAAAC
rnacentral:rRNA from 1 species